rnacentral:rRNA from 1 species
UACGGGGGGGGCAAGCGUUGUUCGGAAUUACUGGGCGUAAAGGGCUCGUAGGUGGCCAACUAAGUCAGACGUGAAAUCCCCAGGCUUAACCUGGGAACUGCGUCUGAUACUGGAUGGCUUGAAUUCGGGAGAGGGAUGCAGAAUUCCAGGUGUAGCGGUGAAAUGCGUAGAUAUCUGGAGGAAUACCGGUGGCGAAGGCGGCAUCCUGGACCGGCAUUGACGCUGAGGCGCGAAAGCUAGGGGAGCAAACGGG